UGGUGGAGUGAUUUGUCUGGUUAAUUCCGAUAACGAACGAGACUCUGUCCUGCUAAAUAGAGUACUUGUCCUUUGUUACAAGUGCUUUUCUUCUUAGAGGGACUGGCGGCGUCUAGCCGCACGAGAUUGAGCAAUAACA
rnacentral:rRNA from 1 species